UUAAGUGAAUAAGGGCGCACGGUGGAUGCCUUGGCACUAGGAGCCGAUGAAGGACGGGACUAACACCGAUAUGCUUUGGGGAGCUGUACGUAAGCUAUGAUCCAGAGAUUUCCGAAUGGGGGAACCCAGCAUCUUUAAUAGGAUGUUACGAUUGUGUGAAUACAUAGCACAUUCGAGGUAGACGCAGAGAACUGAAACAUCUAAGUACCUGCAGGAAGAGAAAGAAAAUUCGAUUCCCUGAGUAGCGGCGAGCGAAACGGGAAAAGCCCAAACCAGCAAGCUUGCUUGUUGGGGUUGUAGGACUCCAAUAUGGUAGUUCUUUCAGAUAGUCGAAUGACUUGGAAAAGUCAGUCAAAGAGGGUAAAAACCCCGUAGACGAAAUGUGGAAGACACCUAGGAGGAUCCUGAGUACGGCGGAACACGAGAAAUUCCGUCGGAAUCCGGGAGGACCAUCUCCCAAGGCUAAAUACUCCCUAGUGACCGAUAGUGAACCAGUACCGUGAGGGAAAGGUGAAAAGCACCCCGGAAGGGGAGUGAAAUAGAACCUGAAACCGUGUGCCUACAACAAGUCAAAGCCCGUUAAUGGGUGAUGGCGUGCCUUUUGUAGAAUGAACCGGCGAGUUACGAUUGCAUGCGAGGUUAAGUUGAAGAGACGGAGCCGCAGCGAAAGCGAGUCUGAAUAGGGCGUUUGAGUAUGUAGUCGUAGACCCGAAACCAUGUGAUCUACCCAUGUCCAGGUUGAAGGUGCGGUAAAACGCACUGGAGGACCGAACCCACGUACGUUGAAAAGUGCGGGGAUGAGGUGUGGGUAGCGGAGAAAUUCCAAACGAACUUGGAGAUAGCUGGUUCUCUCCGAAAUAGCUUUAGGGCUAGCCUCGGAAUUGAGAAUGAUGGAGGUAGAGCACUGUUUGGACUAGGGGCCCAUCUCGGGUUACCGAAUUCAGAUAAACUCCGAAUGCCAUUCAUUCAUAUCCGGGAGUCAGACUGUGAGUGAUAAGAUCCAUAGUCGAAAGGGAAACAGCCCAGACCACCAGCUAAGGUCCCAAAAUAUAUGUUAAGUGGAAAAGGAUGUGGGGUUGCACAGACAACUAGGAUGUUGGCUUAGAAGCAGCCAUCAUUUAAAGAGUGCGUAAUAGCUCACUAGUCGAGUGACCCUGCGCCGAAAAUGUACCGGGGCUAAACAUAUUACCGAAGCUGUGGAGUACACCUUUAGGUGUAUUGGUAGGAGAGCGUUCUAAGGGCGUUGAAGGCAGAUCGUGAGGACUGCUGGAGCGCUUAGAAGUGAGAAUGCCGGUAUGAGUAGCGAAAGACAGGUGAGAAUCCUGUCCACCGAAUGACUAAGGUUUCCUGGGGAAGGCUCGUCCGCCCAGGGUUAGUCGGGACCUAAGCCGAGGCCGACAGGCGUAGGCGAUGGAUAACAGGUUGAUAUUCCUGUACCCGUUGUUUUUGUUUGAGCAAUGGAGGGACGCAGGAGGCUAAGGAAUGCAGACGAUCGGAAAUGUCUGUCCAAGCAGUAAGUCUGAAGAGGAGUCAAAUGCUUCUUUUCUUAAGGACAAGCUGUGAUGGGGAGGGAAAUAAUAGUACCGAAGUUCCUGAUGUCACACUGCCGAGAAAAGCUUCUAGUGAGAAAACAGCGGCCCGUACCGCAAACCGACACAGGUAGUCGAGGAGAGAAUCCUAAGGUGAGCGAGAGAACUCUCGUUAAGGAACUCGGCAAAAUGACCCCGUAACUUCGGGAGAAGGGGUGCUGAUCAUACGAUCAGCCGCAGUGAAUAGGCCCAAGCGACUGUUUAUCAAAAACACAGGUCUCUGCAAAAUCGUAAGAUGAAGUAUAGGGGCUGACGCCUGCCCGGUGCUGGAAGGUUAAGAGGAGUGCUUAGCGCAAGCGAAGGUACGAAUUGAAGCCCCAGUAAACGGCGGCCGUAACUAUAACGGUCCUAAGGUAGCGAAAUUCCUUGUCGGGUAAGUUCCGACCCGCACGAAAGGCGUAACGAUUUGGGCACUGUCUCAACGAGAGACUCGGUGAAAUUUUAGUACCUGUGAAGAUGCAGGUUACCCGCGACAGGACGGAAAGACCCCAUGGAGCUUUACUGUAGUUUGAUAUUGAGUGUCUGUACCGCAUGUACAGGAUAGGUAGGAGUCGUAGAAAUCGGAACGCUAGUUUCGAUGGAGGCGCUGGUGGGAUACUACCCCUGCGUUAUGGCCACUCUAACCCGCACCACUAAUCGUGGUGGGAGACAGUGUCAGAUGGGCAGUUUGACUGGGGCGGUCGCCUCCUAAAAGGUAACGGAGGCGGCCCAAAGGUUCCCUCAGAAUGGUUGGAAAUCAUUCGAAGAGUGUAAAGGCAGAAGGGAGCUUGACUGCGAGACCAACAAGUCGAGCAGGGACGAAAGUCGGGCUUAGUGAUCCGGUGGUUCCGCAUGGAAGGGCCAUCGCUCAACGGAUAAAAGCUACCCUGGGGAUAACAGGCUUAUCUCCCCCAAGAGUCCACAUCGACGGGGAGGUUUGGCACCUCGAUGUCGGCUCGUCGCAUCCUGGGGCUGUAGUCGGUCCCAAGGGUUGGGCUGUUCGCCCAUUAAAGCGGCACGCGAGCUGGGUUCAGAACGUCGUGAGACAGUUCGGUCCCUAUCCGUCGCGGGCGUUGGAAAUUUGAGAGGAGCUGUCCUUAGUACGAGAGGACCGGGAUGGACUUACCGCUGGUGUACCAGUUGUUCUGCCAAGGGCAUUGCUGGGUAGCUAUGUAGGGAAGGGAUAAACGCUGAAAGCAUCUAAGUGUGAAGCCCACCUCAAGAUGAGAUUUCCCAUUUCUUUAAGAAAGUAAGAUCCCUGAGAGAUGAUCAGGUAGAUAGGUCAGGAGUGGAAGUACAGUGAUGUAUGGAGCGGACUGAUACUAAUCGAUCGAGGACUUAACCAA
rnacentral:rRNA from 1 species